rnacentral:rRNA from 1 species
CAGUCGCCGCGGUAAUAUGAAGGGGGCUAGCGUUGCUCGGAAUUACUGGGCGUAAAGGGCGCGUAGGCGGACAGUUUAGUCGGGGGUGAAAGCCCGGGGCUCAACCUCGGAAUUGCCUUCGAUACUGGCUGUCUUGAGUGUGAGAGAGGUGUGUGGAACUCCGAGUGUAGAGGUGAAAUUCGUAGAUAUUCGGAAGAACACCAGUGGCGAAGGCGACACACUGGCUCACUACUGACGCUGAGGCGCGAAAGCGUGGGGAGCAAACAGGAUUAGAUACCCGUGUAGUCCCUGUCUCUUAUAC